GGGGAGGGCCAUCAUGGAGGGGGAACUAUGAAGAAGAUGUAAUGAGAGGAUCCUGAAGAAGGGUCCUGUGGCGAGAGAAUCACUGCUAUGAGGUCAGUCUGGGUCUGCAGUCAGAGGCUGUUGUUGGAACCUGUAGCCAUGGUCUAGCUAGGUAAAAGCCUGCAGUGAGAGUCUGCAAACUGAUCCCUGCAGUCGGAGUUUAGCAGGAAAUAACCAGCAGUCAGAACCUACAAGGGAAACCUCCAGUAGGAGCUUGCUGCAGCCGGAGUCAGUGGAUAGCUGGAGUCGGGAUGGCUGAGCUGUACAGAGGACUAAACCAGGAUCCUUUUCAUGCUGUGACAAACAAGUAGUCUGUGUCUUGGCUCACUUUUACCAUCUAACAAGAGGGCUGCUGCAACAGAAAAGGUCAAGAAAGAGAGUCCAGUGGAGCACUGGAUCACACCAGAAGAAAGUUUCUGCCACUUUUUGCAUUCUCAGUAGAUUUUCCUAUGCCAGGGAAGACUGUCCUUCUCCUUCUCUCCGACAAACCAAACCAGCUCUCUCAGGUGCAGACAUCUGCUUCUUUAAAAGAAAUUGACCCUUCUGAUGUUUAUGCCAUGAAAAAAUAACGAUUUCUUUGGGGAAAAGUUGAUGUAUAUUCCCUGCUUCUUAAUGCCAACCCGCAGAGUCAAAACAAACUGGGAUAUACUGGAAUAUGCACUAAUCCAUCGCUGCAUCUGCUGCACACUGUGACGUGAUGGAGAAAUGUAAUUUUGGGUCCUAAAUUUUCAUUUCAAACAUUAUAUGUAAAUACAGUCAUAAAUAUGUAUCAAAUGGAAACAGGUCAUCUCUAAGAUUUAAGGAACCAUAUAGUCUCAAUGUAUUGAGCUACCUCAUAAUAGAGAAAUGAAGGUAAAUUAAAAACAGGUAGCAAUUCAGAAAGUUAAAAAUAGUCAUCCAAAGUUUAAACCUCUUGAGAAGGCUUUGAAAAAGCUAACAAUAGAGCCCCUGUAAAACAUAACAAAAUAAAAAUAGAUGCUGUAGUUGCUGGAUAAAAAUAGUGUAGAUUUAAUGCUUCUUCAAACAGAUGGCUUUAAAACUUGAGAUGACAAAUUAUGAUUUGUUCAGCCCAAAAAGAAGUCUUCCAUAGGCUCUGUGAAUUGUAAUAACAGUGUUAGAGAUGACCUUGAGAAGGGUUUAGACCAUUCAGACACUUUUUUUUUCUUUUUUUUUUCUUUUUUUUUGUGAAUUGAAGUCUAGUAUUAAAACCAAAAUAAAACAGGGAAAACAAAAUUAAGUAUUAGAAAUUUGUAUUGCCUAAGGACUUUGCUAAGAUGUAAUUUCUUGUCCUAGAAGUAGUGGUAGGUGAAACAGAAGAAAUCUUGUCUUUGAUGCAUUUUAAUUCUUUCAGUGUAGUAUUUUCAGUCAGGGUUCACCACAUUCAUCAUUCUCCAAAAGAAACAGCCCACUCUACCAGAGAAUUUAAAUUUAUUUUCUGCUGGUGUGUCACUCUUGUUUCAAAUAUGGAGGUGGAGGAAGGAAUGAAGUAGCCAUCCAUACGUACUUUUGUUUUCAGAUGUUGCCAUACUUAAAAGUGCAAACCCAUUUCUUGAAUGUAGACAAAGAUAAACCUCUUCUGAAGAUUUUCCAGAAUGACUUUUCCCACCAAAAUUAUCCGUUAACAGGCUCGUAGGUAGAAAUAAUGACCAGCAAAGCAUUUAAUACUCUCUACACCAGUCCUUUGCCAAUGACCUUGUAAUGCAACAGGAAUUCCCUAAAGAAUGGUACAAAUUAUGGACAUGAUUCAUUUUGUGCUGCUCCAGCCAUAUUCUGCUGCAAACCCAGGUUGAUUUAUUAGUUGUAUGAGACUGAAAUAUUUUAGUUUUAAGUAACCUGUUAUCUUAGAUAAGUAAGUUAAUAAGUAAAUAAAAUACACUCAGGUGUCUGUUUUGUUAAAAAAAAACCCCAAACAAAAAAACACUGAAACAACAAACACUUGUAAAAUUAACCUCUGCCAUGUAUGGACUUUCUUAUGUUCAAAUUAAGUAAGUUACAAUAAUGAUUGCAUAUAUAUGAAUAGCUUAAUGUUUCUAUAGCAACUAUCUUUAAGAAAGCUUUACAAGCAUUAAUUAUUAAUAAUAAUAUUUAUUAUUCUUGUGCCUAAGGAAUAGCCAGUCUCAUGGUGUCCAGCAAGUUAAAGAACUGAAUUAUUGAGACUGUGCUAGGAUGAGGGCCAGGAAAUCUUUAAACAUUCUGGAUAGAUGGUAUUGUUCCUGAAUUUUACCUUUUUUGAGUGGUGAUAGAAUCAGAAGGGUUAUAAUUAACUUGGGAAAUGAUUUGUCUCUGCUGCAGCAGGCUCUCAUUGUGUGUACAGCAGCACCUUGCUCUAUGCUCAGCACUGGUCUCUCCAUUCAAGUAAAAAAUAACAAAGGAAUCAACUGCUGUAAUAUAUCUCACAGGCCUGAAUUUAGUGCAAAUUGAAGAGACAAGGUAAGAAGUGAAAAGAGUAAGGUAAAUCAGAUGAAAUAAAUAGAUCUGUGAGACCAGAGGAGGGACAGGUCUGGAAGAAACCAUCAUUCAGCACAAAGUCCCAAGAAAAUUGUUCCUUAUCAGCUUCACAUUUGUCCUUCCUUGGCUGUGAAAUUUGAUUCUGCUUUCUGAGUCACAUCCAGUAAAUAACUUGAUGCCCUUUUCCUAUUUGUUCACACCACUAACUGGAAUGGAAAAGGCAUCAUGGUAGAAAAUGAAUUGCCAGUGGGACAGAAUGUGGGCUACAGUAUAUUACAGAUGUGCCUUGUCUUGUUCACUAAGCUGAAGUGUUGCCCUGAGAUUUGAAUGUCUGAAAUUAAAACUCUGCCAGUGUAUACUUUGCUUUUUCUAUUUUAAGAACAUGUGAAGAUAUUAUUCUCAUUGGAAAUUGCUUGUUAAUGGCAACCACCCAGCUGCCAUAAGAAAUGGGUUCUAGCACAGCCAGAACAUGAAAAUGGCUGUGCUAAUGAGUCAGGCACAAGUUUCAUCUUUGGAUCCAUAUUGUGUCUGUGGUCAAAAUCAGAUGCCAAAGGAAAGGUAUAACAGGGAAAUAUGUGAUGUUGUCCUCACACUGCUAAAUAUUUCACUACAUUAGAGAAAAUUCUCUUGCAUGGCCACAGGAGCAGCUUCAGUAUCCAGUUCCUCAAA